rnacentral:telomerase_RNA from 1 species
CUUCGCGUCGCCUCCCUCACAGUUUCCCGGUGCUCAUUUUCCGCAAGGAAUGUCUACUGCAGACCCCCCUUCAAGGUCUGGUGAUUCGCGACAUGCUGCCCUUGAGCCUGUAUCAGGAUCUCUCUGUCGGCGGCAUUCGGACUUGUCGUGAUAUCGCGUCGUCGGUAACCAGACGAUACAGCCUCGCCGGGGGAAUGAGCUUCGGAACUUAACCCUAAGAUAACAUCUGGUUCUAGUAUUGCGCCCAGUCUUUUGAUCGUCUUUUACGUCUGUGAUUGGAUCGAGUUUGCCUUCCGCUGAAAAGCGGACGGACAGAUGACGGGCUUGAACAGGCUGACUGGCGGACAAAUUAUUCAGCCACCCUUUGGUGCGUGAGAGGAAGGCCGCUUUGGCCCUGAUUGGUAGCGCCAUCAGGUGAAAAGCCUCGCAGAUGAGGCGUCAUCGGCUCUGCCUGCUGGAACGGGACUUUGGCAAGUUGCGAGCGGCUUCAAAGAGGCUGUCGGAUUGUUGGGAAUGGAGACUUGGUGCAUGGCGGAAGCAUGCUGCUCGGCAUUGCUGACGCUGGGACGUGGUCCGGCAUGAAGAGCUGAGCUGGAGCCUGGCCACAUGCAAUCAGUGUUUAUGUUUCAUCAGAGAUGACACCGAAGUUCUGCCUCGUCGGAAUCGCUCGCAAUUGCGAGUGUAGCGGGGAAACUACGGCCGCAAACAGAAACGUUUAACUGAUACAACCAACUGCCAGCUCCCACGCGCUCUCGGAAUCUUGCCGUGCUUGAACCACGCCCAUCUUGUCUCCUUCCUCACUGACAGGUACUUUGGGACCAUGUCAGGGACAAAUACGUCCGGACAUGUGAUGCGUGCAUCAAGCUCGGCCAGGCGCAUCAACUUCCUGCGUCGGUCAUCCGCCGUAUACGCUGGAAGACGCCAGUCAACUGCUCAAAUUUCCAAGAAUUUGAGCAUUUCCCCCAAUAGCACUCCGAAAGGAGAUCUUUGGGAUGAGAGCGUGGUUUUUCCGGAUGCUUUUGUCCACGCGUUGCGGCCCUCCUUUGCCUGGCAGCGAUGCCUUUGGUGGAGAGGAUACAAAAACUAGUCCUAGUUGGCCGCGAGGAGCACACGGAAGGAGAGCUGGCCUAAUUUGUCGUCGAGUCUGGGCUUGCCAUCGAUUGAUGGAAAGACGCUCAGCGCGAGAUGUCCUGUCUGUCCUCGGUGUCCCGAAUGCUUGCAACGUGGGCAGUGCCGGGACCCAUCUCGAGUUGGAGUCAAAGUUUUGUGCUUGUCUGGCGCUGUCACCAAUGCAUCAUUUGACCGAGAGGCAGCUGCGGACUUGCUCAUUGGUUUGAAAGGGCAGGCCGCGUAGCUUGAGGUAGCCCUGGUUGUCCUCGCGCCAGAAAUGGCGGGAGGACGACCCCCC